rnacentral:rRNA from 1 species
CUACGGGCCGCUGCAGUGGGGAAUAUUGCACAAUGGAGGAAACUCUGAUGCAGCAACGCCGCGUGGAGGAUGACACUUUUCGGAGCGUAAACUCCUUUUAUAUAGGAAGAAGAUGACGGUACUAUAUGAAUAAGCGCCGGCUAACUCCGUGCCAGCAGCCGCGGUAAUACGGAGGGCGCAAGCGUUACUCGGAAUCACUGGGCGUAAAGAGCGUGUAGGCGGAUUAAAAAGUCAGAAGUGAAAUACUAUAGCUUAACUAUAGAACUGCUUCUGAAACUCUUAAUCUAGAAUAUGGGAGAGGUAUAUGGAAUUUCUGGUGUAGGGGUAAAAUCCGUAGAGAUCAGAAGGAAUACCGAUUGCGAAGGCGAUCUACUAGAAUAUUAUUGACGCUGAGACGCGAAAGCGUGGGGAGCAAACAGGAUUAGAUACCCCCGUAGUC